GGCUACUGCUAUUGGGAUUCGACUAAGCCAUGCGAGUCAAGGUGUCUUCGGACGCCGGCAUACGGCUCAGUAACACGUAGGUAACCUACCCUCAGGACUGAGAUAACCCCGGGAAACUGGGGCUAAUAUUAGAUAGAUAAAAGAUACUGGAAUGUUCUUUUAUCCAAAGCUUUUGCGCCUGAGGAUGGGCCUGCGUCCGAUUAGGUCGUUGGUGGGGUAAUGGCCCACCAAGCCUGCGAUCGGUACGGGCAGUGGAAGCUGAAGCCCGGAGUUGGGGACUGAGACAAGGCCCCAGGCCCUACGGGGCGCAGCAGGCGCGAAACCUCUGCAAUGCGGGAAACCGUGACAGGGGGAUCCCAAGUGCUCAUGCAUUGCAUGGGCUGUUCUUUGGUCUAAGUAACCAGAGGAGUAAGGGCUGGGCAAGACCGGUGCCAGCCGCCGCGGUAAUACCGGCAGCUCAAGUGGUAGCCGCGAUUAUUGGGCCUAAAACGUUCGUAGCCGGAUAAGUAAGUCUUUGGUUAAAUCCUGCGACUCAACCGUGGGAAUUCUAGAGAUACUGCUCGUCUUGAGACCGGGAGAGGUUGGAGGUACUCCUAGGGUAGGGGUGAAAUCCUGUAAUCCUAGGGGGACCACCUGUGGCGAAAGCGUCCAACUGGAACGGGUCUGACGGUGAGGGACGAAACCUAGGGGAGCGAGCCGGAUUAGAUACCCGGGUAGUCCUAGGCGUAAAU
rnacentral:rRNA from 1 species